UGGGGGGGGGGUCGUCCCUUUUCCAGUCUUCUGGGCUUUCUCAGUCCUUAACCCCUUACUUUCCCUUUGCCCCAGGACGUUUCUUUAGGCAAUUUCCAACCGCCAGGGGCAAGGAGAAGAUGGCCUGUCCUCAAACUUCAGCAGGAGACUGGCCGGAGGUAGAGAAGGCAGUGGUCCAAAGACAGGGUUUCUGCUCCAAGUCUUGUAAUAAUGAUAGCUACCAGCUACUGGGUGCUUGCCUGUGCCAGAUGUUGUUGGUGCAUUAUCUCAUUUAAUCCCUAAACCACAGCCUUGUGAAUUACACAUUACUAUCACCAUUAAACAAAGGAGGAAACUGGGCCUCAAAGAAGUUGGCCCAAGCCCCAUCUAUUCCAGUUUAAUUAUAAAGCCAUUCCAGAACACUUAACAAAACUAGUAUUCUCCCUUGGCUUUGUUUUAUCUCAUCAGGGAAGGAAACUAGUUUCUUUGAGCUCUAGCCUUGGUCCAGAACUCUAACCAGAGCAUCCUCAGGACUCUCAAGUGCAAUGUUAUUUCUUCUACCCCUUGAUUGUUAGAAGUAACGAUUAACUUCCAGUAAAUUGCAACCAGCCCUUGACCCAUGAUUUAUUAGCACAAAGACAACAAAAGGGAAAUGAGAAAGGAAUCACUCUCACUAAACCACCUCUUGCUUCACACCUGCUAGGGCAAAAGAUGAACUGGUUGUUCUUCUGAAACUCUUAUUGCAUUUUGAGGAUCACCUUGGCAUUUGACCCACUUUCACCUGGACAUUCCUCAGGGAAUAGAGAAAAUGAGCAAUAUGGUAGAACAUGGAAGGCGAUUUAGAAAAAACCUGGUUUCUGGGUUUAGCUACUCAAUACCCCUGUGACUUAAGUUGAGAUCCUUGCCUUGCUGAUCACAUGCCUUUGGGUAAAGGAGCCAAUCAUGUUUUGCACAGCUUACUCAUGUUAAAUCCAAAGCUAGUUUAACUCAUGUUAAAUCCAAAACUCGGUAAGUUUAUCCACCUCACAUGGCACUUGUGAGUCAGUACUGGGGAUUGAACCCAGGGCCUCAUGCUCACUAGGCAAGCACUCUACCACUGAGCUACAGCCUCGGCCCACUUGUGGUAUUUAAAUGAGAAUUCCUGUAAGGAGCUUUAUCUGUUGACUGUCCCAUAACUUGAAUGAGCAGUCACUCUUACCUCUCUGAAACAUACACAAGAAAAAAAAUGACUAUAUUCCCUUACACAUUUCUUUGUCCUAAGGUGUUUGUGAAGAUUAAAUGAGAUUACAUACAUGAAGAUACUGUGCAUGCUAAAGUGUUCUCAAAUCAAGUUGUUAUAGUAUAGGUGCAGAGUCUGCAUGUGAGAUGUGAGACAUACAGACCACCUGAGUGCUAAGCAUCAAAGUUGAUUUGAAGUAAGAUGACGUCAGGUUCCAAUUCUGGUCCUGCUUGUUGCUAGGUGUCCUUGGAAAGUCAGUUAAUCUUCCUAAGGCUCAGAUUCCUCAUCAUAACCUCAGUUAUAACUGUUCUCAGGGGUUUUGUGAGCAUUGCAUGAUACAAUAAACAAAUAAUACCUCCAAGUCUUACUUUUCU
rnacentral:tRNA from 1 species